UACGAAGGGGGGCUAGCGUUGUUCGGAAUUACUGGGCGUAAAGCGUGCGCAGGCGGCUUCUCAAGUCAAGGGUGAAAGCCCAGAGCUCAACUCUGGAAUUGCCCUUGAAACUGCAUGGCUUGAGUACGAGAGAGGUGAGUGGAAUUCCCAGUGUAGAGUUGAAAUUCGUAGAUAUUGGGAAGAACACCGGUGGCGAAGGCGGCUCACUGGCUCGUUACUGACGCUCAGGCGCGACAGCGUGGGGAUCAAACAGG
rnacentral:rRNA from 1 species